rnacentral:rRNA from 1 species
AGAACUUAGCAGAGAUGCUUUGGUGCCUUCGGGAACUCUGAGACAGGUGCUGCAUGGCUGUCGUCAGCUCGUGUUGUGAAAUGUUGGGUUAAGUCCCGCAACGAGCGCAACCCUUAUCCUUUGUGCCAGCGGUCCGGCCGGGAACUCAAAGGAGACUGCCAGUGAUAAACUGGAGGAAGGUGGGGAUGACGUCAAGUCAUCAUGGCCCUUACGAGUAGGGCUACACACGUGCUACAAUGGCGCAUACAAAGAGAAGCGACCUCGCGAGAGCAAGCGGACCUCAUAAAGUGCGUCGUAGUCCGGAUUGGAGUCUGCAACUCGACUCCAUGAAGUCGGAAUCGCUAGUAAUCGUAGAUCAGAAUGCUACGGUGAAUACGUUCCCGGGCCUUGUACACACCGCCCGUCACACCAUGGGAGUGGGUUGCAAAAGAAGUAGGUAGCUUAACCUUCGGGAGGGCGCUUACCACUUUGUGAUUCAUGACUGGGGUGAAGUCGUAACAAGGUAAGCGUAGUGCU